CUCCGGGGUCACUAAAGAGCAGUUCAACAAAGCCAGGCUACCCAUGGAGCAACUUGAGUGGUAAGACAUUUCUGGAGUAUAGAACCAUUUCUGGCAGCAGGAUGUUGAGAGGGCAGGAGGCUGCAUAUCUGAAUGAUUCCCCCACGAAAAGAAAAAACUAGACAUGUGAAAACUUUCCUUGGGAAGCUUCUAUAUAUUAUACAUGACAUGACAUUUUUCUGAGUGUAGGGAAUAUAUACAGUGGUACCUCGGGUUACAGACGCUCCAGGUUACAGACUCCGCUAACCCAGAAAUAGUACCUCAGGUUAAAAGCUUUGCUUCAGGACGAAAACAGAAAUCGCAUGGUGGCAGCGCAGCGGCAGCGGGAGGCUCCAUUAGUUAAGUGGUACCUCAGGUUAAGAACAGUUUCAGGUUAAGAACGGACCUCCAGAACGGAUUAAGUUCUUAACCCGAGGUACCACUGUAUAGGGAAAGCACCAGGACAAAAUAAAACAAAAUCCUGCUCAGACAGGGAGCUUUAAAGUGUGGGCCUAUGGCUGGAAAACACAGCGCAAAAAGAAGUAGAGUGGUACCUCGGGUUACAUACGCUUCAGGUUACAGACUCUGUUAACCCAGAAAUAGUGCUUCAGGUUAAGAACUUUGCUUCAGGAUGAGAACAGAAAUCGUGCUCUGGCGGCGCAGCGGCAGUGGGAGGCCCCAUUAGCUAAAGUGGUGCUUCAGGUUAAGAACAUUUUCAGGUUAAGAACAGACCUCCGGAACAAAUUAAGUUCUUAACCCAAGGUACCACUGUACAGAUAGCCUUAAAGCAAAAUAAAUCCAUCACUAAUGCACUAUUCCUGCAUCAAUAACAUGUUGCAGAAUAAAGCCGCAAUAAAACAAGGUUCUGGAGGGACCCCAAUAUUCAGUUUAUUCCCUUUUGAGCUGGUGCAGUUUUUCCAAGCUGCAGGAGAGGGAGGUUAUAGGAACACAAUUAUUAUUUCACAGCGGGCAAAAUCAUUGUUCAUGCAAAUUUGCCUUAACUCAGUUUCUUUUAGGUUGUAGGCGCUUCCCAGCCUUGCAAAGGAUGUUUACUAGUGCUUCUGCAUUAAAUGACGUAAGCAAACAAGUGUGGCGAUCGGUGGGAAAGGAUAAGGCAGAGUGCAUGAUUCAGACUGAACAAGAAAACAAAAGUAGAAAACCUGGAGCCUGAGAAGGUUCCUCAGCCAAGAGCUGCUGUAAAUUGGAACGUCUCUUCACUUGGCUGCUGGCGCCUGACCGCCAUCAUCUUUCUUUAAUUAUUGUGUUAGUGUGUCUUUUUAUUUAGGGCAGAAACCGUUUUCCAGCAAUUCCCUCCCAGGUUCAUUUUGCUUUUUCAAUGAAGCAAUUGUGUUUUUUAAUUGUUAAAAAGCACACAACCCUGAAAACCUCACAUUGUCUCCACUUUGUACUUUCCCAAACUUGGGUGGCCUAUAGAAGUUUGCUUUCUUUCAUUUUUUUUUUAAGAGAGGCCAGUUUCUAAAGUGUUAGCAGUAAUGAUUCCAUCCUAACCACGUCUUCCAUCGAGAACUGAUCUACUUUUCAUUGCACUGUUUGUUCAACCUUGACUACUGCAUACCCCUCAAGCGUCCUGAUUUGAGCGGGACAUCCCAGAAUUACAGAACCCAUCCCAGUUUCUGACGAGAUCCUGGAAUGUCCCAUUUUUUGAUCUGGCACUCUAGUGUAAGUCAGCUGCCUCCUAAUUUUAGUGUCCUAAUUUUGAUCAGUGGGAUGUUGGAGGGUAUGCUACUGAAUUCAGGUUGCAGAGGGGUCCUGGUAGCCCAACAGUGUUCUAUAAAGUUCUGUAAAGCAGGGUUCUAAACACAGGCCUGCAGCACAAGUUUUUAUAGCAGGCCUGCCUGAUGUCAGGCAGUGAAAGGGACACGGGUAGCGCUGUGGUCUAAACCACUGAGCCUUUUGGGAUUGCUGAUCAGAAGGUCAGUGGUUCGAAUCUGCGCGAUGGGGUGAGCUCCCACCCCAAUGACCUGCGCCUCCAUGGACAGCUGUGAGUCCAAAAUGACUCCCAGGCUGUAGUAUUAGUUCUUUUCAUGUCAGCUGCAUCUUACCCAUUUGUAAGUUGCUUUAGGACACUUUUUGCAAGGAGACAGAUGAAUAGACAUAAUAAACAGCAAUAAUCAUAAUGUUCUUAAGCACUCUGUUCCCAUGUUUACCUAGAGCUCCAAUAUACCAGUACAGUCAUCCACCUUCAUAAAAGACUCUUUAUUAGGAAGACCCAGUGCUUGGCUCAAAAACUCUUGACCUGACCUUGCCACAAAGUAAUCAUGAGUAGGACAACUGUAUGAAAAAUAGCAAGAACACAGGAGGCUGCUUUAUACUGAGUCAGAACACUGGUCCAUCUUGCUCGGUGGCUCUCUGGCGCUUUGGACAAGGGGCUCUCUCUACCUGGAGAUGCCAGAGACUUGACUUGGGACAUUCUGCAUGCAAAGCAGAAGCUCUGCCACUGAGCAGCAGACCCUCCCAAGUGUCCCUAUUUUGCAGGGACAGUCCCGGAUUUACAGAAGCCAUCCCAGUUUCUGAUUUGAUCCUGGAAUGUCUGUCUUUCCCUUAAAGGUAAAGGUAAAGGGACCCCUGACCAUUAUGUCCAGUUGCAGACGACUCUGGGGUUGCGGCUCUCAUCUCGCUUUAUUGGCUGAGGGAGCCAACAUGCAGCUUCCGGGUCAUGUGGCCAGCAUGACUAAGCCGCUUCCGGCGAACCAGAGCAGCGCACAGAGACGCCCUUUACCUUCCCGCUGGAGCGGUACCUAUUUAUCUACUUGCACUUUGACGUGCUUUCAAACUGCUAGGUUGGCAGGAGCUGGGACCGAGCAACAGGAGCUCACCCCGUCGCGGGGAUUCGAACCACUGACCUUCUGAUUGGCAAGUCCUAGGCUCUGUGGUUUAACCCACAGCGCCACCUGCGUCUUUCCCUUAGGACAUCCCUAUUUUCAUUGGUGAAAUUUUGACAGGUAUGGAGUUAUGAGACCCCUGAGUCAAGGAGAUACAUCCAUUAGAAGACAUCUGAAGGCAGCCCCAUAGAGGGAAGUUUUCCAAUGCUUAAUGUUUUGCUAUGUUUUUAUAUAUGUUGGAAGCUGCCGAGAGCAGCUGGUGCAACCCAGUUGGAAGGUGGGGUAUAUUUAUGAAUGAAUCGGACAUCCCUAUUUUCAUCAGAGAAAUGUUGGAGGGCAUGUACCAUAGAAAACACUUCUGAGGGCUGCCAAAUAGCUGAAAGGAAGUUGCUUCACUGGGAAAGAUAAAGGAUGUCUGUUUCCAGUUCCACCCAUCCUUUCUGCUUUCAUGACCUCCCUUCUCUUUGCUCUGAAGGCUGAUGCUGCUGGUGAGAUUGAAUAAUCAGGAUGCGAUUGGUGUGGCUGCAGCUACGAAAAUAUUAACCCCUAUGAGCUGCAACCAGGUGGUGUUCCUGCCUUCCCAGUUCAUAUUUGAACAGAACAAAUAAGCAUAGAUAACGCUGACCUACUGUACAUGGC
rnacentral:lncRNA from 1 species